rnacentral:rRNA from 1 species
CAGAGGAUGCUUUUGGCGCGGUGCCUUCUGAGUUCCCUGGAACGGGACGCCGGAGAGGGUGAGAGCCCCGUACAGUUGGACACCAAGCCUUUGUAAAGCUCCUUCGACGAGUCGAGUAGUUUGGGAAUGCUGCUCAAAAUGGGAGGUAAAUGCCUUCUAAAGCUAAAUACCGGCCAGAGACCGAUAGCGCACAAGUAGAGUGAUCGAAAGAUGAAAAGCACUUUGAAAAGAGGGUUAAACAGUACGUGAAAUUGUUGAAAGGGAAGCGCUCGUGACCAGACUUGCGCCCGGCGGAUCAUCCGGCCUUCUGGCCGGUGCACUCCGCCGGGCUCAGGCCACCAUCNGUUUUCCUGGGGGGACAAAAGCGGCGGGAACCUAGCUCCUCCAGGAGUGUUAUANCCCGCCGCA